rnacentral:rRNA from 1 species
CCGGCAGCACGAGUGAUGACCGCUAUUAUUGGGCCUAAAGCGUCCGUAGCUGGCCGCGCAAGUCUAUCGGGAAAUCUGCGUGCUUAACGCGCAGGCGUCCGGUGGAAACUGUGUGGCUUGGGACCGGAAGAUCCAGAGGGUACGUCUGGGGUAGGAGUGAAAUCCCGUAAUCCUGGACGGACCGCCGGUGGCGAAAGCGCUCUGGAAGGACGGAUCCGACGGUGAGGGACGAAAGCUCGGGUCACGAACCGGAUUAGAUACCCGGGUAGUCCGAGCUGUAAACGAUGUCUGCUAGGUGUGACACUGGCUACGAGCCAGUGUUGUGCCGUAGGGAAGCCGUGAAGCAGACCGCCUGGGAAGUACGUCCGCAAGGAUGAAACUUAAAGGAAUUGGCGGGGGAGCACGGGGCGGGGGCGGCGGGCCGGGCGCGGGGCGCGGCGGGCG